rnacentral:rRNA from 1 species
GACGAACGCUGGCGGCGUGCUUAACACAUGCAAGUCGAACGAUGAAAGAGGGAGCUUGCUUCUUCUGGAUUAGUGGCGAACGGGUGAGUAACACGUGAGCAAUCUGCCCUUGACUCUGGGAUAAGCGUUGGAAACGACGUCUAAUACCGGAUACGACCCUCGGAGGCAUCUCCUGGGGGUGGAAAGAAUUUUGGUCAAGGAUGAGCUCGCGGCCUAUCAGCUAGUUGGUGAGGUAAUGGCUCACCAAGGCGACGACGGGUAGCCGGCCUGAGAGGGUGACCGGCCACACUGGGACUGAGACACGGCCCAGACUCCUACGGGAGGCAGCAGUGGGGAAUAUUGCACAAUGGGCGAAAGCCUGAUGCAGCAACGCCGCGUGAGGGAUGACGGCCUUCGGGUUGUAAACCUCUUUUAGUAGGGAAGAAGCGAAAGUGACGGUACCUGCAGAAAAAGCACCGGCUAACUACGUGCCAGCAGCCGCGGUAAUACGUAGGGUGCAAGCGUUGUCCGGAAUUAUUGGGCGUAAAGAGCUCGUAGGCGGUUUGUCGCGUCUGCUGUGAAAUCUGGGGGCUCAACCCCCAGCCUGCAGUGGGUACGGGCAGACUAGAGUGCGGUAGGGGAGAUUGGAAUUCCUGGUGUAGCGGUGGAAUGCGCAGAUAUCAGGAGGAACACCGAUGGCGAAGGCAGAUCUCUGGGCCGUAACUGACGCUGAGGAGCGAAAGCAUGGGGAGCGAACAGGAUUAGAUACCCUGGUAGUCCAUGCCGUAAACGUUGGGAACUAGAUGUGGGGACCAUUCCACGGUCUCCGUGUCGCAGCUAACGCAUUAAGUUCCCCGCCUGGGGAGUACGGCCGCAAGGCUAAAACUCAAAGGAAUUGACGGGGGCCCGCACAAGCGGCGGAGCAUGCGGAUUAAUUCGAUGCAACGCGAAGAACCUUACCAAGACUUGACAUAUACGAGAACGGGCCAGAAAUGGUCAACUCUUUGGACACUCGUAAACAGGUGGUGCAUGGUUGUCGUCAGCUCGUGUCGUGAGAUGUUGGGUUAAGUCCCGCAACGAGCGCAACCCUCGUCCUAUGUUGCCAGCACGUAAUGGUGGGAACUCAUGGGAUACUGCCGGGGUCAACUCGGAGGAAGGUGGGGAUGACGUCAAAUCAUCAUGCCCCUUAUGUCUUGGGCUUCACGCAUGCUACAAUGGCCGGUACAAAGGGCUGCGAUACCGUAAGGUGGAGCGAAUCCCAAAAAGCCGGUCUCAGUUCGGAUUGAGGUCUGCAACUCGACCUCAUGAAGUCGGAGUCGCUAGUAAUCGCAGAUCAGCAACGCUGCGGUGAAUACGUUCCCGGGCCU